CAGCCGCCGCGGUAAUACGGAGGGUGCAAGCGUUGAUCGGAAUUACUGGGCGUAAAGCGCACGCAGACGGUUUGUUAAGUCAGAUGUGAAAUCCCCGAGCUUAACUUGGGAACUGCAUUUAAAACUGGCAAGCUAGAGUCUUGUAGAGGGGGGUAGAAUUCCAGGUGUAGCGGUGAAAUGCGUAGAGAUCUGGAGGAAUACCGGUGGCGAAGGCGGCCCCCUGGACAAAGACUGACGCUCAGGUGCGAAAGCGUGGGGAGCAAACAGGAUUAGAGACCCGCGUAGUCCCUGUCUCUUAUAC
rnacentral:rRNA from 1 species